CUUAGGCGGGAGAAAGAACUAACUAGGAUUCCCUCAGUAGCUGCGAGCGAACAGGGAAGAGCCCAGCACCGAAUCCCGCGGCCGAUACCGGGCGCCGGGAAAUGUGGUGUUAGGGAGGAUCCGUUCAUCCCGAGGUCGUGCGGUGCGUCCAAGUCCUUCUUGAACGGGGCCACAGCCCAUAGAGGGUGCCAGGCCCGUAGCGACCGCUGCCGAUCGCGGGAGGAUCUCUCCUCAGAGUCGGGUUGCUUGAGAGUGCAGCCCUAAGUGGGUGGUAAACUCCAUCUAAGGCUAAAUAUGACCACGAGACCGAUAGCGAACAAGUACCGUGAGGGAAAGUUGAAAAGCACUUUGAAGAGAGAGUUCAAGAGUACGUGAAACCGUUCAGGGGUAAACCUGAGAAACCCGAAAGGUCGAAAGGGGAAAUUCAUUCGCGUUUCGGCCGUCGGCGUCGGAUGGUCGAGUGACGGAUGGCGUACGCGUCGUCCGCGCCUUCCUUCCUUCGAACCGGCGUCGAACGCGUGCACUUUUCCCCUAGUAGGACGUCGCGAUCCGUUGGGUGUCGGUCUAAGGCCCGCGGUGGAGCCCGCGCGGACGUUUCGGCGUCCGCUCGGACCCGCGGUGUCCCGGCCGACUCGCUCGACGGUAUACAGAUGGCGCGGGGCCGCUACUUAUCAGUUAGCGUUCGGCCUGCGGCAAGCGCGUUCGGUGUUUGACGGCGAUCGGACCUGGUGCCGGUCCUGUCCCCGAACGACUGUUGG
rnacentral:rRNA from 1 species